CUUUGAAAAAUCAAAAUGUCGACUUAAAUUAGAGUCGGUAAAAAACAAAAACAGCAAUGAAUUACUUUUAGUCAUGUUACUUUACCUCCGAUUUGAUAAAAAGUGUACAUUCCGAAAGAGGAAAAUUAUUGUUGAAAGGAAAGAAGUAAAGAAAAUGAAAGGUAGAGUUGUUUACUUUUAAAAGAGGGACGAAAGAUAGAUAAGAUGAUUACCAAUUUCAACCACAAGUAAACACCCAGAGUGACUUACUUUCACUCUACAAUCGUACGUCACAUAUAUAAUAUGUUGUCCAUCAGAGGCUAAGCAUAUAUUCUAAGUUAUAAUAAUGUAAAAACAUGUUUAAUAACAAGUCAAAAUUUAACUACAUGGGGGUCAUUUGGGAGUUUUCCUUCCUGUUUAGGAGCACCAAACCGUUAUGGUAUCCACAUGUUUCUGUGACGUUAAACAUAAACAUAUUUUAAAUUAAAAUGUGAUGUAUGUCAAGUAGAUUAACAACUUUCAGGACUUGUCUAUACGAUUCCAUUAACGACUAUACAUUAAAUGUUUACAACUAGACUAUCACUUACAACUUACAACUCCCGUUAGCGCCAUGUGACUAUUGUCAACUACUAUUAUCAAGUACUGUAUAUGUAAUAAAGUAUUUGACCUUAUCCCUGUUGUGAAACUGUGUUAUUUCUAGUUUGAUUUCAGAUUAUGAGUACCUUAGUUUUGAAAACACGUAAUAAACAUGAUAAACAAAAUCAUUUCUUUUAUACAAAAUCAAUAAAAACAAACCCAAUUAAGCCUCAGGGACUAAUAAACUUACAAAGGUAUUUAAAAAUAAAAUUACAUUUCUACAAUUGGAAUUUAGGUCAAUUUUAAAUACCAGACUUUAAAUAUAUAUUUUUCCAUUGCAUGAUUUAGGUAGACUGAUAAUAAAUCAUUUAACGAUUAAACCUAACUGUUGCUAUUGUUUUUUUAAUUGACAGUAAUAAAAGUUGUUUUUCUUUUUGUUUGUAAAUCAUGAUAUAAUUUAACUUAAAUUUAUAGAGUUAUCACAUGCAUAUAUAUUAUUAUUGAACCACUUUAUACUCUCAAGUACCAUCCUAUAAAUACUAUAUAGUAUGCAUGUAGAAUAUGACAUCGCUUUAAAACUGUUCAAAAGUGUAACAAAUAUUGAUGGAACAAACAAGGAAAUAAAAUAUACCAGCAAAACCUCCAACUUACACUUGAUGUUUGCUUUUGUUUUUUCGUUGAUAAUUAACUGGCAGUUGAUUAUUAAAAAGCUUACAAGUUCACGUGUGUCUCAUAUUCUAAUUUGAAGUAAACCAUAUGUGUUGAGAUCAGGAAAACCAUAGAGAUAAGGAGCAGACCUUCAAGUUUCUUCACCUUUUUUAGACAUCAUGUAGACCCAUUUGUGUGAAAGGCAACCAUUCAUUAACAUAUUUGUUAUUUAACGAAACGACAUUAUUUGAAUAUAUGAAAAGGAAACUAAAGAACUUUGCAAAAUGAUUUUUGAUUUAAAGUUAUUGUAUGAAUGUCUGUUGCAAAACUUAUAUGCUUAUGAAUAAAGUUAAGAACUGUUUUCAGGAAUAUCAAUGCAUAUAACUCAACACAUUUGUUGUCAACAAAAAUGUCUAGCAUUUUGAAGAACUUAUUUUAGAUAUAUAUUCGUUUUGGAAAUUAGUGCGGUUUUUCACAAAGAAGGAUUUUGUUGUGCGCUCAAUAAACAUAAAAUUAUGUAUCUUCGCUUAGCAUUUUUAGUCAAUGACACGAUGUACUUAUUUUUUAAAUUUAUCAAAAACAAUUUUAAAGUUAAGCUAUAACGGCAAAAUGACAGAUACUUUGAUUUAGAUUUUUUAUAGAUCUGUAGGAUUUUGUAGGAUUUACUCUUUAUGAAAUAUACUCCUGUACAUAUUUUUAUGAACACCAUUUAAUAUGAAAAACUGGUAGUUAUGACUUAAACUGCUGGUGGACUAUUAGUCCCCGAGGGUAUCACCACCCCAGUAGCCAGUACUUCGGUACUGGCAUGAAAAUACGGAUUUUUGGUGUUAUUAAACUUUACUGUUACAAAAAAAUAGAAAUUAUUAUAAAUUAAGGAAUGUAUCUCCCUCAUGCAAAGCUCUGAUUCUUUACACGGAUUUGGCUAUACUGUUUGGACCUUUUGGAUUAUAGCUCUUCAUCUUUUAUAUAAGCUUUGGAUUUUGAAAUAUUUUCCAUAACAUCACUGAAGAGAGACAUGUUGUCGAAAUACGCAUCUGGUGAAACAAAUUGGCACCGUUAAUUUUGUUACUACCACUGGUCGAUGCCUGCUGCGUGGACUAUAAGUCCCCGAGGGUAUCACACCCAUAGUCAGUAUUCGGUACUGCAUGAACAUACGGAUUUUUUGUGUUAUUAAAAUUUGCUGUUACAAAAUGUAGAAAUUAUUAAAAUUAAGGAAUGUAUCCUCAUGCAAGCUCUGAUUCUUUCACGGAUUCGCUAUACUUUUUGGACCUUUUAGAUUAUAGCUCUUCAUCUUUUAUAUAAGCUUUGGAUUUGAAAUAUUUUGGCCACGAGCAUCACUGAAGAGACAUGUAUUGUCCGAAUGCGCAUCUGGUGCAGAAAUUGUACCUUUAAUUUGUUACUACACUGGGUCGAUGCCUCUGCUGGUGGACUAUUGUCUCCGAGGAUAUCACCACCAGUAGCCAGUACUUCGGUACUGGCAUGAAAAUACGGAUUUUUGGUGUUAUUAAAAUUUACUGUUACAAAAUGAUAGAAAUUAUUAUAAAUUAAGGAAUGUAUCUCCCUCAUGCAAAGCUCUGAUUCCUUUCACGGAUUUGCUAUGCUUUUUGCCCUUUUGGAUUAAUAGCUUCAUUUUUAUAAAGCUUUGAUUGAUAUUUUGGCCCGAGCAUCACUGAGGAGACAUGUAUGUCGAAAGCAUCUGGUGCAAGAAAAUUGGUACCGUUAAUUUUGUUAAAGAAUGUGUUGUGUGGAAUAUCUUGGCAAUCAGGCUAAAUAUGCAGACGGACAUAUUUGUACUUUUAAAGUCUUUUCUCUCGUGAAUGAUUAAGAGUUAGAAACAGUACAUCCACUUUACUUUCAAUUCUUUGGAGAGAGACAAACAAGUAAUUAUGUUUUGCGUAUAUGAAGAAGUUCGUGUCAAACUUUAUCGGAUCUAGAGAGGAUUAUUCAUUUACAACCUCGAGCUCCAUGAAUGGAUUAAAAAUAAAAUUGGGAUCAAUGCACAAUAUACCAAUUAUCUUUGGACUAUUCAAAUUAAGCGACUAGGCAUGGUUCAUUUUGGUCGGGUUUAAAACAUUUGUCUGGUAUAGUAAUCACUGGAAUAUUGCGUUUAAUGUCAACUUCUCGAACUGAAAAACAUGUUUUCGAUCAAAAGUUUAAGAAAGUACAAGUAUUCAGAAUGCUACACCUAUAGACAAAAAAAAAAGAAGAAAGAAUUUGCUUCAUUGAAAAGAAUGGUAAACGAUGCAUGUUUAUUAUCAUGAAUUCAGCACUUGACAAUCAUCAUUCCUAUAAGUUAACUCUUCUUGCUGACUCGCGCCUCAUACACACGAAAACAUUGGAGAUUGGGCUUAUCAGAAAGAACACAAAAAAGCUAUCUGCUCUUUGGUCGGGUUGUUGGCUCUUUGACACAUUCCAAUUUCCAUUUUCCAUUUAAUCAUUGUAAACUUGUUCCACUUGUCGUAGUUACACUCCUCUCUUCUUCGAAUGCGAAAUCACCGUAUGCAACUAGUCCGGGAUUUUGUGCUUAAUAUUUGUAAAUCAAUAAGUUCCAUCGCUUUUUGUGGCUUGCAAAUUUAAAUGAUAUGUGAUGAAGAUUUUAAAGUAAGUUUUUGUAAUCUACAUCUGAUUGGCAAACCUGAUAUGAAGGCCAUGGUUUAACGGGAAAUGAAUGGUGGUUAAAAAUCGGGAAGAUUACAUAAUUAUGUAAAUCACAAAGCUAUAUACCGUUCUUUAUGAUGAGUUCUGUGACGUUUUGGUAUUCUUUACAACGAAAAGAGGUUUUGUGUAAUUACCAAAACAAUGAAAAGAUGGAAAUGACACCUGCUAGUGUUUAUGAUAAAAUCAGAUACUGAAUUUAGUCUUCAACUAUUUGUUUUCUUUUUAAUGGUUUUUAAGUAUUGUCAUCAAAAGAAGUCUAAUAUCUCAAAGAUUGUAAAUAAAAAAAAAAAUAUUCGUUGAUGUUUCUGAUAUAAAUCUGUUUUUUUAUUUCGCUGAAUCAAGAAUCAGCAUACUCGCCUGUGUGAUAGUACAAGUUUAAACGCUUUUCACGAUUUCGUUUGAGAAACCUUCGAAUUCACGAUUUGGUAUACUGUAUGUUAACAUAAGUCACUAUAUUCUUUAAAAUGUUUUAUAAAUGACUUUAUUUUGGUCAUUUUAUUUACCUAUAAGUGAUCAGCAUGAUUAACUUAAUAUUACUCUAGAUGUUCUGCAUAAUACAUGUUUUACAAUUACACAAUAUUACAUACAUGUAGUUUAGUUUUAUUAGCAAUAAUGCACACUUCAUGAUUUGAUAUCUAAUUAAAAUACCUUUUAAUGUUUAUUUUUUAAGGCAUACAUAUGUAAUGAGGAAAAGCUUUGAUGGACAUGUUCAUCCUACUGACUGUUCUUCAGGUUCGUACAAUUUAUACUGUCAUUGCCCUAGGUACUUUGAUCUAACCUUGCGAUAUGUAUUCAAUAGUUAUAAAAAUUCUAUAUUCCUUUUUUUUUCUUAAUUAUUAUAUGUCGAAAAAGUUUAUAUAAAUUUCUUUUUGCAAAACAUUACAUUGAAAUAUAUUGAAGAAUUUAUUAAACUAAUUCUUUUCAGUUGACAAUGAUAACUCGUUUUGUUUUAAUUGUUAAAUGGACAACAUUAUUUGUCGGCUUCUUUAUAUGCCAAUUGAUAUAAAAAGAAGAUACGUUAUAUAUGGUUGCCAAUUAGACAACUCUCCAUAAAUGACACAAAAAAUCAGCUAUAGGUCCUCGUACGGCCAUAAAAGCUAUAAAAAAAUCCCGAAAACACAAAUGUAAAAUAAUUCAAACGAGAAAAAUAACGGCCUAAUUCAUGUACAAAAAAUGAAUGAAAAAAGAUAAUAUUCUCUCACUAAAUAAAUCAACAUUUGGUGACUAUGUUGAACGCAUCUAUCCCAUCGAACUAGAGAUACAAAAGAUACAGUUAAGUCUCAUAUCUGGACUUAUAUCUAGAAAGUGACCAUGAGGGUCGGUUGAUAUAAAACUUUACGACAAACGAGAUGAUUUCAGCUCCCCAAUUGUGAACUUUCCAUUUCUAUGUAGAAACAUUCCAGCAGCGGCUGCAUACGGAGUAUAUAUCUCCCAAUUGUUACGAUAUUCUAGUUGAACAAGAUCUGCUAACCUUUCCGGAGCACCUAAAAUAACCAUCAGUUUUUGGUUGGGUUCAUGUUGCUCAGUCUUCAGUUGUCUAUGAUGUUUCUUGUGCAGUGUUAUUUGUUUGUUUGUCUUUUACAUUUUUAGCCAUGGUGUUGUCAGUUUAUUUUUGAUUUAUGAGUUUGACUGUUCCUCUGGUAUCAUUCACCCCUUAUCUAUGUUGUGUACAUUUCUAGCAACAAUUUACGGAAUCAACGCAUUGUAAUACUUUCACUGUAACAAAAGUGACUCUAAUAGAGAUUGUUGAUGUCUUGAAAACGACACCCGUGUAUUAUACACAGACGUUUAGAUUUCUCAAAUUAGUCGUUCUUUCUAAUAACUUGAUUGGAGAUUAUUUACGUACCUAAAAAGCAAGUCUUUAUGUGCAUGUAUUGGAAGGAAGGAUCGAAAGACAGUUUACCUUGCUUAAACUUUUAUGAAUAUUUAUUUAUUUAUUUUAUAGAUGGUUUUCUUGAAUGCAGCAUACAACUUCACCUGUCCAUCACAUGCACAAUGGAAUAAUAGGGCAAAAGCAAAGUGUAAGGCUCCAGGAAACUAUACUUGCUUAUUUGACGUGACCUUUCGAAAAAAUAUAUACAGAGAAAGAUGUAGCAGACCUAGAAUUUUAGCCCCUGGUAUUAUAUGUUUAACAAUGAAAUAUUUAUUCUGUAAAUGCACUAGUAGCUGGAUUGAUUUCUUAAACGGUUUGAUUGGUAUGAAAGUUUGAAUUGAAAAAAAAAUCCACCUUAGACCAAAUAAUAUCGAUAUGAACAAUAACGGGUCACUUUUGGCUUUUUUGAAAAUUGUUUUGGAAACAUUAACAAAGUUUCAUGGGAUAACAAUGUCAAAGCUUCUUUGUGAACUAAACAAAUAUUGGCAUAUUUUUUCAUAUUCAAUACAAUGUAAUGUGUAACUAUAUAAAAAGAAGUAUUAUACGUUCGAACAAAUUAGAGAAAUAUGCACAACAUUAACAUAAGACAUUUGACGUAUAUCCGAAUUGCAAUAUCAACAUGAUCAAGACUAUGUAAGAUCGAUCUCAUUAUAUUUUGCUGAUCAGGAACAAUUUCAUCUUGCAUAGACACAAUGUAUUCCUCCGUCACUAUCGUGUAGAUUAUCGGAUGUUCAUUCAUACAAUUCUUCUCUCGCUUUCUUGGCGUGUUUGGGUGAAGUAUAUAAAAUAUAUGCUACUUUUAUUCAUAUAUUCAUACUAUCAUAAUGCCUGGUUUUCGGAAUAAUAAGAGACAUAUGAAUAAUAGAUAAAGCAAUAACCAUGAUAGCUAUACACACAAACAAUUAAUUUGUAUAAUUAACUAAAGAAUUAUACUUCAGUUAUUUUGCUUAUAAACGUAAAUAAUAUAUAGAUAGAUUAUCAAACUAUAUAAUAAUUUAAAAAUUCAAUACUGUUAAUUAUAUUUUUAAGAAGUAUCGUAUUUUUAAAAUAACUGCACUGCGUGAUCAGCAUAAAAACUUUGCAGAACCUAUUGUCUCGCCUACUUUAGUUAUUAGUCCCAGGCUGAACAAAAAUGGGAUUAAAAAAAUUUCCCCUAGAUACUAUUUUUUAAUUGUAAGAAAGUUCUGUCGCAGUUUUGUAAAAAUCCAAGAUGAUUAUUAUUCUAACGAAUAUUUUAAAAACCUUAACCAUGUUAACUGGAGACUAUAUGUUGACUGAGUCCUGUUUAUAAGUAAUAUAAAAACUAUAGAGUUGAAAUACAGAUCAUGAUAUAUAAGACAUGAAGAUGGAACUACUUGCAGAUUAGCUAAAUAUAUAUCGCAAUGAAUCGUGCGAUACUGUCACAGAAAUAAUAAGUAUAUAUAAACAAAUGACAACUCUACGAUAGAUCAAUCCAUUGGAUUACAAGUGAAGGUGAUACACGGCUAAAAUAUAUCUACAAAAAUUAUAUAGAUUAUUAUAUAUAUACACUACUUCCAUAAGAAGGGGCGUUACUCCUUUCAGCAUACACGCAUACUAAGCAGGACUUGUAUGAUCUUAACGUUACUUUUUAUUUCUCGUGAUUUCGUCUGAAAAAAUACAAACCAAUCUCAUGCUAUUUAUUUUGUCUUAACAUGUCUUAAAUGCCCACAAUUCACUUGAUCACAACUAAUCACAACUAAUAAAAAAAAAAACGAUUGACAAUUUGAGAGAGAAAAAAAUAUCAUUUCAAAACAAUGUUUCAACGUUUUUAGAUCGAAAACUGGGCACUGUUGAUGGUAACAUAUACAGUUAUUUUGCUUAAAUGUUAUUAUCAGUGUUUUGAUGUACAAUUAAUGUUACUUAUACGUCCCAUAUUGCUAAAAGUAAAAUAAAUUUGAUAACAUAAAAGUAUUUUAUCCACAAUUCACAAGGAGUUUUCUUCGAAAGACAAAAUCCGUUAUUAUUAGCAUUUGUAUUUAAUUGUAAAAAUAAUCCCCUCAAAAUGUUGAUAACUGUACAUGGUCUGCCAAUAUAUCAACAUAAAUAUAUACCCUGAGUACGCCUCAUAUACAUUAUCAUGCUCAUCUGGAUAUGAGAAACAUUGGGAAGUGUGAACAAUCAUGUGUCACUUACCAUCACUAUGUCCGGAAAAACUACUUUAUAUUGCAUUAAAUUUGAUUGGCUAUAUAGAACAUUUUCCAAAUUUAAGAUCUUCAAAUUAUAUAGCAUGUGUAUUGAUAUUUGUUUUCUUAUUUCCUACAGGAUAUAAAUACGUAUUUCAGCCGAACUUAAACAGAGCAACAUGUAGAAUAACUCGAUAUCAGCCUUUUAUUUUUGACACCAUAGGGUAUAGUGACUGCGCCAUUCGAAAAUCUCUUUGCAACAGCCUUGGUCAAACGACGUAUGGACAAGGAAAUACUACGUUUGACAGAACCUGUAAUUGUGAUGUCGACAGAGGGUAUUCUUUAGUCAUAAACUCGAAAAACCAAUGUUACUGCAAUCCUUUGACUGACGAUUGCUCCUGUUAUAUCGGAAUGAAAACACACAACACAACAAAUGGUUUGAGUGGUAAAGUACUAUACCCGAAUUAAGAAAAGUCAAUACUUAACCUCAGAAUUUAGGUGUCUAUUUAAAGUUUUAAAGUUGCAAACAAACAUUUAUUAGAUAUACAUUUAAGAAAGACGAAAGGCCAGUGGGGGGUUCUAUUUAAAAAAAAAAAGCCUUUUAUCUUUGACGAUUGUUUUAAGAUCCGAAGAUUUUAAAUUUUCAGGCAUUUAUGUAAAGGCAGAACUCUCGGCAUUGUUUGUCGCAUAUGUACUUCGUGGAGAAUUAGAUCAAAAUAGUCGUUGUUCGGUCUACCUUGAUUGUGAAUAAUAAAAAAGAAAUCGGGUGCAUGUUUUUAUCCAUUAUAUAUAUAUUAGGCGGAUAUGUUCCAAAUGUCGUAACUACAAUCCCGUCCUCUUUUCCCCGAAUAUGACCUACCGAAUUAGACUGCUAACCGGGUAUGUACAAACAAAUGCAACACGAUGGGUACAAUAUAAAGAGCAGAAUCAGAGCGUCCUAUCGGAGCACCUUAGAUAACCCCCAGUUUUUCGUGUUUCUCUGUUUUUAGUUUUUUUAUGUGAACUUUGUUUGUCCGUUGGUCUUUUAGUUAAGUAGACAUGACGUUGUCAGUUUAUUUUCGACUUAUUACUUUGAGUGUCCCUUAUGUAUCUUUCGUCUAUUUUGUACAGAUGUGAAAACAUUUUUUACGAAAAUCCGUAACUUCUCAAUUAUAUUUUUUAGCUUUGAAAUGCAAUGAUGACAUACAAAUGACUAAAAGCCGUCAAUCAGAAGAUAUGUAAGUGUUUGAAUAUUUUUUAUAUUAUAUAUAUUUUUGUUAUGUUCUUUUAUUAUAAUACAUUAAUUCAUAUAUAUCUAUAACUAUUAUAUUCUUAACAUUCAUCUUAAAGUAAAACGGCUACGUACACACCUAGAAGGUAUGCUUCGCCCUUAUUGUGUUUAUUUAAAUUGCUGCAAUGUAAAAUGGAAUACUUAGGAGGCUUUGUAUGCUUCGCCCUUAUUGUGCUUAUUUAAAUUGCUGCAAUGUUAAAUGGAAUACUUAGGAGGCUUUUAAUCAGAGUAAAAACGAAAAACAUAAAUGAUAAUAUCAUUAGGUCUAAAUAUAAUGCGUCAAAUAUGACCGUUGUAGUCGCAGAAAUCUGUAAAAAAACAGAACAUUUUUGGAAAUCAAACUCGGUUAAGUUUGUAGUAUUUAGAUCCAAUCAUGAUCUUGCUAGUGCAUGAUACAAAAAGCAUAUGAUCUAUCAAAAUCCAAUAAAUCCUGAAUGGAAAAUGGGGCUAUUAUAAAAUGUGGAUGUAUAAAAUUAAAAUCAAAUCCAUAUAGAUGUAUGCCUACGACUCUUAAUUGAAUUUAUUAUUUAUUGUUUUUUUAUAUAUAUAUCUUUAUAGGUUGAAUAUAUCACGGACAGUACAUAUCAUUGAGUUUGACAACUUCAAGUACAACCAUAAUUUUAAACCUACUAGUAAGUCUGACCAUGAAAAGUCAGUAUAAAAACAAGAAUAACAGAUAAACACUUCAAUAUGUUCAAUCAGUAACUGUAUUGUAUAGUGUAAAUCUUGACCAUGAAUAAAUAAAGAGAACAUGCACACAUAAAUUAAACAAAAAUCCAAGAACAUAGACAAAUAUGUAAUGUCUCACAGAAUUUUUGAUUAUAUCUGUAAUGGUAAAAAAACAUCGCUUCAACUGUUAUUAAGAAUGAAAUUGAUUUUUUUAUAAAUAUGAAGGGGGCAGAUUUUCUCGCUGUGUUGAGAACUAAUUGGUGGUCUCCCGCUAGUUUCUACUCAUUGGUCGGGUUGUUGUUUCUUUGAUACUUUCCCCAGUUCCAUUCUCAAUUUUAUUGGUAUAUACAGGUUUUAAAAAACAUUCUGUAUAAAUGUUCUCAGUUAAAAUGCUUCAUAUUUUUCAUGUCGGGAUAUACUAUAGCCAAUUAUAUGGUAUAGAUUUUUCUAAUUGUUGAAGGCUGUAUGAUUGCAUUCAAAUGCUCAUAAAUUCAUCAUUUGAAAAUUGUUGGAUAGUUGUCUCAUCCUUUAUCGUACCAAAUUUUUUUAUUUUCUAUAUGUCUGUCUUAUGAUUUAUUGCUGCCGAAAACCUCAUUUAUGAAGGCUGACAUUUCCUAAUUCUAAAUUAUUUAUCAAACAGUUCAUACAGCAAUUAAUUGACAAAAUAAGACAUGUAAGAUAGAAAUGUUUAAAGUGGCCUGUUUAUUUUUUUAUAACGACAAAUCAAAGGCCAAUAAUUGUUAAUGCCAAACUCUCGCUUCUUCUAUAUAGACUCAUGGCUGGCGCUUCAAGAAAAUACUUUGAAGGCCUAACCAGUUAAGUGAAGGAGACAACCUUUCUCUGUCAUGAGGUGAUACUCGAAAUUUGAAUGCGUAUCGACAGUUAGGUCUGUCAUAUCGUAGUCAUUAUUUUCAUAAAAAUUAAUCUCUUUAAAACAUCUUUUUAGUUGACUCAGUAUUACUGAAUAUAUUUUAGAUUGUCAAGGUCAGAAUAAAAUAUCAAUAAUUUCCAACUACAAGGACUAUUUACUUUUAAAUUGAUAUAACAGUGGUGUAACGCUGUUCAAAUAUCGUAAUUCGAUUUAAAAGAGACCACUAUUGAGAAAAAAAUGCAUAAACUAAGUGGGUUUCUAUAUAAAGUAAAAUCAAGCAUGACCCAAAAAAGCGCGGAAGAUAUAGUUUUAUCAAAAGAAUUUCUCAAUUAUUUUCUUUAGAUAGAAGGAAACAGCUUUUUAAAUGUACUAAACCUUUAUAUGUUUGUUUCAUCCUAGCAAAGACCACAGACACAACAUACAAAGUUAGGUUUAUGAGAACAAGGGCAAUAUUUGUUGAUGAAAUAAUACAUUCAUUAAAAAUUGACAAUUGAAAUGUCAUAAAAAACAAUACAAUUUUAUAAAACCCCUUGUUUCGUAAUAUUUCAGAUGAAUACCGCACCACAGCAGCUAUUGUGGUUUUUGUAUUGUUAUUUGCAUUCUGUAAGUAUUCCAAAAUAAUAUAUGAAUAGAUUAUUAAAAAAAUAUCUAGAUUUUUUUCUAUUUCUACUUUCAUUUUUAAUCUAUUAGUUAUUUAUCAUAAUUUUUACCACCAACGAAGCACUCGUGCAUGUAAUAACGGAAAUGUGCAAUGCGUGGUUUUAAGGAUUCUCUGUAAAGAGUACUUAUGAUUGAAAAGUGCAUGUAUUGUAACAUCUCAAGAUAUUUGAAGAUCGAAGAAGACUUGAACAUUACUUGCAUUAUUUUGAAAUAAGCAUUUGUUCGAUAAAAAAAUCUAGCACUAAAAUAAAGUUCGAAACCUUUUUCUGGUUGGUCAACCAGAACGUCCAAAUCCAAUAAAUCAAAGCAAAGGAUGCAUUCAUACGUGAAUAUUCUUGGAACUUCCAAAAAACGAAAAAAUGUAAAAAAAAAAAAAAAGGUCACUCUGAACUAGUUUCAUCUACACAUAAGCCUACGCGAUUGUCUAUUCGCACAAUAUGUGUGUUAAAUUCUACACGCUUAAUAUUCGUUUUAAAAUUUGUAUUACCAAUUUUGAUAAUAUGUCGUUAAGGCACUUUUACUCUUAAUAUAUAUUUUAUAUUUAUUUUUCAGUCGUGGUCUUGAUACUUAUGCGACGAUUGAUCCAACUUCGAAGUAGU
rnacentral:lncRNA from 1 species